AUGGCGACGACGGCGGCCGCGGCGGAGGACGUGGAGGCGGGGGCGGGGUCUCCGAUCGCGGCGUUCGCGGUGGCCAAGGGCGGCGUCGUGCUGAAGCACAUCUUCCUCAACGGGCCGCCGACGGAGGCGGCGCGGCGCGGCGCGGAUGCGGAUCGGGCGGAGGAGGAGGCGGAGGAUCCGCCGGUGCUGUUUGGGCGGCACCCCGACUGCCACGUCCUCAUCGACCACCCCAGCGUCAGCCGCCGCCACCUCGAGGUCCGCUGCAAGCGGCGCCAGCGCCGGAUCACCGUCACCGACCUCUCCUCCGUGCAUGGGACCUGGAUCUCGGGCCAAAGGAUCCCACCAAACACGCUGGUGGAACUGGUGGCUGGUGAUACACUACAGCUCGGGGCCUCCAAGAGGGAGUACCGACUUCACUGGCUUUCCCUGCGCGAGGCAUUUGAGAUGGAUGAUCUGCUUCCACCACUUGUUGAGGAGGACAAGGAGGAGAUCCAUACUCAUCAGGAGGCACAGGAUCAGUUGGUGCCUGGGCAGAGGGAGCCAAUGGAGACAAAAACUCAUCAGGAGACAAAACAUCAAGUGGUAGCAGAACAAACUGAAUGCUGGGCUAAAGUGAUUCCCUCGGCACCACCAUUGCCUGAGUCUUCACUCUCACAUUUUCAUGACAACAGAGUGGGAGUGAUAGGGGGGACAAUUGUUACUGAGAAUUCAAUUACAGAAUCUGUUGGCUCUUCAAUAAUACAGGCAGCUGGAAAACCAGUCCAGUCAGACAAACAGAAAGCAUCAGGCACCAUGUCCCGAAGGGCCAAGUUGAAGUCAGUGAAGUCUCUUCACAUUGACACAGGAAGGAGAAACAUGACUUUGAGCUACAGCUACAAGAACGAAGAAGCCCAGGAUGAGAAUCGUGUAUGUUCUCAAAACUGCAAGGGAGAAUGUGCAGCCUGCAUGGUUUUGUUCGAUAAUUUUGAUGUCAAAGCUGGAGAGAAGAAAAGGAUGAUUGCACCAGAAAAGGUCCACAUCAGCCCCCAUGUCAUGGGUAGCAUUACCAUAGAGAGGAAUGAAGAAGUGCCAAACCCUCUGAAUUUUGCUAAGGAGACAGAGCAGCAUGACAUUUUCUCUGAAAAUUCUAUCCCACAAGAUUCAUUUGAUGCAAAACCACAGAUGGGACCAGAGUUGCCAUGUUCUGUUUCCCCUUCGGUUUCCAAAUACAAAACCUUUGCAAAUCAAAUCUCACAGCUGGAUUCUACUAUACAUAUGGAAUCCUAUGAGGCCAUGCCAGAAAAUCCUUUCACACAUGACAUGAUUGAUGGAAAUACAAAUAGCCACCAAGAGAUGAAGCAUGAUGGUUUGUCCCAUCAUAAAUUGGAUGGAGGUCUGUCAAACAAGGAGAAAAUGGCCCAAAAUAAGAUUGUUGUGGAGGACUGUCAGCUUGAAGGCAUAAUUUUUGGGAGUAUAUUUGACAACUUGGAUAUAGAAGCAACUGAAGUAAAAGAAGAUAUCAGUCUACUGGACAAGGAGAAUACCACCCCUCAUGCCUCGGGGAACAUAACAUUUGAGAGGAGUCAGAUACUGUUGAAGCCGACCAGUUCCCAAGAGAUGAUGGAUUCCAUUUCCCCUCUGAAUUUGGAACAUGAUGGCUUUUCAGAGAGUGAAAACUCCGUGUUGAACAUUGAAAAGAAGAUGAAGUCAAAUGAACUUACAUCUGAAAAUCUUAUUCCGUUAGUGUCAGUUGAAACAGAAAUUAUGCUCAUGCCCGAUGAAGAUUUCAAAAGUGACAUCAUUCUAGACAAGGAAAACUCAGUGCUUCCUGGAAAGUACAAUGCUGCUAUCUCCCCUGCGGAACAAGGAAACCUCUUUCUUGAUGAGAAUGUGGCACCUGCCUCCAUGGAUCUCAAGCCCAUUGCUGGGAAGGUUCUUGGCUCAAGGAUGGGCAGUUCGGUGUCAGCAGAGUUCACUUCAAACAGGAGCAUCCAUCAAAGGGAAUGCAGUGAACUUUCAUCAGAAUAUGAUGCUACCUCCCCUGUGAGGCAACAAAACAUCUUUCCAGACAAGGAGAAUGUGACACCUCCCUCCAGAGUUCUCAAGUCCAUUGGUAGGAAGGUUCUUGGCUCAAGGAUGGAUAAUUCAGUGUCGGCUGAAUACACACCAAACAGGAGCAUCAGUAAACGGGAAUGCAAUGAUCUAUCAUCAAAGUCCAAACGUUUCCACACAGUAGAUGAGGAAGUCUUCUAUUCAGAUAAGGAGAAUUUGACACCUAUAUCUACAGGAGGUAUGAAAGCGAGAAGUUGUCUUCCGAAGAACCUGUUCCCAGUGGAUGCAGACCAAGAUCAGGAGGCAUUCUGCUCCGACAAGGAGAACUCUACACCUAUAUCUACAGGAGGUAUGAAAGCGAGAAGUUGUCUUCCGAAGAACCUGUUCCCAGUGGAUGCAGACCAAGAUCAGGAGGCAUUCUGCUCCGACAAGGAGAACUCUACACCAGUAUCUUGUGUAGCUCACAAAACAAGGGAUGUGUCUGAAAACCGUGCACGAAUUGAAAGUGCAAUCACAAAGAAAAGGGUGGUGGUAGAUAGGCUCCCUUUCCAGACUCUUCUGUCAAAUUCUCCCUUGAGACCAACUAGCUCAUUUGAUUGUACCCAGGCUGAUGCUAGUGAAGCUAAUCUCUCAAUCAGGUUGGAAGAUGAACUGAACAGCCUUCCACACAAAAACCACGAAUCAAAUAGGGUUGGAGAAGGGAUGAAAGUCUGGACCAUGGUGGCUGAUACCGAUUGUCUUCUUGAUGACGAAUCAAGGAAGUCUAUAAUGCUACUAAAAGGCAUAAAAGGAACUCAUCUGAUCAUACCAAGGAUUGUGAUGAGGGAGCUCGAAUGCAUGAAACAGCGGGAGGGUAUGUUCAAGAGGUCAUCAAAGGCCACCUCCAUAAUGCAAUGGAUCGAGGAUUGCAUGGAGAACGAGAGCUGGUGGAUCCACGUGCAGAGUUCAUCCGAGAUGUUGCCAGUAGCGCCAACCCCACCUGCAACUCCUACAGAAAUGCAACGCAGCAGUGAAGAGAGUGAAGCCACCGCUGCCGGCGCCUUCAACUCAAUGCUGGCGCUCUUCUCGCCAAGGAGCUUCACUGGCAUCUUCUCCCCAAGAAUCCUCGCCGACAUCGAUUCCCCGAAGACCGAAGACCGCGUCCUCGACUGCGCCCUCCUCUUCAACAAGCUGAGAGGCUGCGGCCAGAACAUGGUCAUCCUGUCCAACAGCGUCAACCUCAAGAUCAAAGCCAUGUCCGAGGGCUUGCUGUGCGAGGGAGCCAAGGAGUUUCGGGAGACGCUGAUGAACCCUUGCUCUGAGAGGUUCAUGUGGGCGGCGAGCGUGCCGAGGGGGGCGGCGUGGUCACGCCUGGACGAGGCCGCGCUGGCGGAGAACUACUACAACAGCCACCGUGAGUCCAGGAGGAAUGUCCCGAGGCCCGUUGAGGCCGCCAGGGGGCUCAAGCUGAUCCUGCUGCACAACAGCUCCUCCCUCUGCGCGCGUUCCGGCGACCAUCUCCGUCGCUGA
rnacentral:rRNA from 1 species